rnacentral:lncRNA from 1 species
UGAACAGCAAUGCUCAUCACAUAAACAUGAAGUUUCCUCCAAAAGGAAUGAUGACUAAUGCUUUGAGGAAACAGCAGACGUCAGACAGCAAGCCCAGAAAAACCUGCCAGCACCAAGAGGGUGUCCUCAACAGGCGCCUGGGGGACAUAUUAUUCUAACUAAAGAGACCAGAGCUUCCCCAGGAAGGGAAGAGGAGAGAAAUGAAGAACGUCUGUGUUCAUGUUUGCCAAAAACAAAAGUCUGAGAAAUCUCUGAGAGACUCUACAUGGGAGGAAAAGUGCAACCCACUGGAGAAAGAGAGGGACUCCGAGGAAGGAGAGAGAGAAGAGCAUCAAGCACAAAUGAUGAUCUCCUAGGACAGUGGCAGCUUCUGAGAAUGCACAGGAAAGUGACCAGGGAAAGAAUGAUUCCAUCUCCAGGAAUCCCUGGUGAUCUUCAGAGCCCAGACAGGACCCUGCUGGGCCAUGGUAACUGAGAAACUGAGAAGCAGAUACAGUGGUCCCUAUGUUGGCAACCUCAGCUGAAGAGGAACAACUCUCUCUAUAAUCAAGGACUUCUGAAACCAGAAAUCACCAGCGUGGGGAGAGAACAUUAAAGGCAGAGGUGUCUCUUAUAAGCACAACGUGUGACCAGAACUUGGAUUACUGUCAGCUUCUAGUGUCUCCAUCAUUCAUAAUUGCACUGUGUUGGUCCACCCACUUUACUCCUAAAGAAGAGGUAAGAAACAGAAGAGGAGAUCACAGUGGCUCUUCAACUAUUAAUAUACCACAGACUUCAAUAACAAAUGAAGAGAAACAAGAAAAGAAAGCAAUGCAAAAAGAACGGUACUGCCCUCUUUCUCUCCUGAACCAUCAAUAAAUCAAGGGUAGAUAAUAGCCUAAA